GACGAACGCUGGCGGCGUGCUUAACGCAUGCAAGUCGAACGGAGCUAUUUAUUUCGGUAGAUAGCUUAGUGGCAAACGGGUGAGUAACGCGUAGGCAACCUGCCCUCAGGAUGGGGACAACGGCUCGAAAGAGCCGCUAAUACCGAAUGACGUAACUCUUCCACAUGGAAGAGAUACUAAAGAUGGGUCAAACCAUCGCCUAAGGAUGGGCCUGCGUCUGAUUAGCCAGUUGGUGAGGUAACGGCUCACCAAAGCGACGAUCAGUAGCCGGUCUGAGAGGAUGAACGGCCACAAUGGGACUGAGACACGGCCCAUACUCCUACGGGAGGCAGCAGUGGGGAAUCUUCCGCAAUGGGCGAAAGCCUGACGGAGCAACGCCGCGUGAGUGAAGAAGGUCUUCGGAUCGUAAAGCUCUGUUGUCGGGGACGAAAGAGUAG
rnacentral:rRNA from 1 species